rnacentral:rRNA from 1 species
AGUGGCGAACGGGUGAGUAAUAUAUCGGAACGUGCCCAGUCGUGGGGGAUAACGUAGCGAAAGUUACGCUAAUACCGCAUACGAUCUACGGAUGAAAGCGGGGGACCGUAAGACCUCGCGCGAUUGGAGCGGCCGAUAUCAGAUUAGGUAGUUGGUGGGGUAAAGGCUCACCAAGCCAACGAUCUGUAGCUGGUCUGAGAGGACGACCAGCCACACUGGAACUGAGACACGGUCCAGACUCCUACGGGAGGCAGCAGUGGGGAAUUUUGGACAAUGGACGCAAGUCUGAUCCAGCCAUUCCGCGUGCAGGAUGAAGGCCCUCAGGUUGUAAACUGCUUCUGUACGGAACGAAAAGGUUUCCAUUAAUACUGGGAGCUCAUGACGGUACCGUAAGAAUAAGCACCGGCUAACUACGUGCCAGCAGCCGCGGUAAUACGUAGGGUGCAAGCGUUAAUCGGAAUUACUGGGCGUAAAGCGUGCGCAGGCGGUUAUGUAAGACAGAGGUGAAAUCCCCGGGCUCAACCUGGGAACGGCCUUUGUGACUGCAUAGCUAGAGUACGGUAGAGGGGGAUGGAAUUCCGCGUGUAGCAGUGAAAUGCGUAGAUAUGCGGAGGAACACCGAUGGCGAAGGCAAUCCCCUGGACCUGUACUGACGCUCAUGCACGAAAGCGUGGGGAGCAAACAGGAUUAGAUACCCUGG